GAUGCAGCAAACGACCACACAAGACUCUUCUCCUUCUCUUGGUGGGCUCCUGAGGAACGAACCCCUUUCACAUCAAGACAGUGAAUGUUUCACCACAAACUCUAUGGAAUUAAAUAGAAACUUCUCUCAGCCAUUUUUUGUCAUGUGGGAUCAGAGUCUCAUCUCAUUACCAACUUGCCUUUAUUCACUUGACGAAAGAGAGCAAGCGGAUGCUUUGAGGCAAUGUCCAACCAAAGAAUUCAAAGAUGAGUAAUCUUGUUUUGCUUUCUUAACACAAAAUGUCUUCUUGCUUUUGUUGUUCUUCUCUCAUCCA